rnacentral:rRNA from 1 species
CUACGUAGGUGGCGAGCGUUGUCCGGAAUUACUGGGUGUAAAGGGCGUGUAGGCGGGGAUGCAAGUCAGAUGUGAAAUACCGAGGCUUAACCUCGGGGCUGCAUCUGAAACUGCGUUUCUUGAGUGUCGGAGAGGAAAGCGGAAUUCCCAGUGUAGCGGUGAAAUGCGUAGAGAUUGGGAGGAACACCAGUGGCGAAGGCGGCUUUCUGGACGACAACUGACGCUGAGGCGCGAAAGCGUGGGGAGCAAACAGGAUUAGAUACCCUGGUAGCCCACGCCGUAAACGAUGGAUACUAGGUGUAGGAGGUAUCGACCCCUUCUGUGCCGGAGUUAACACAAUAAGUAUCCCACCUGGGGAGUACGGCCGCAAGGUUGAA